ACUAGUAGACUACUAUCUAGGAGAACUAACCUGGCUGGCCACCAUUCUCUCGUUCAAUUCGGGCUUCGCGGGCAUAUUGAGCUCCUAAAACUAGUUCCAUUGAGCCGCAUCAAUGUACCACCCAACCGCCCAUAGAUAGUGCUAAACCUGAUAUGUUGGACGUAUUGAAAAUGCAUCAGAGAGACAAAGAGAUUUCAUUGAUAAAAUAAACUGAUGCUUCAUCGUACUAAAGGAGUUACAAGGACGAUUAUAAUUGUUCGAUUGUGGGAACUAUGCAGAAAUUAUCACCGAAUUCUCCCGGGGAAUUGAUUCCUAGAUCUGGGCAUCAAUCAGAUUUUGCUUUUAUAGAUUUGAAUUUGAUAGCUCCGUUGUUUGUUAUUGAUGCUGAAAUUUCUUUUCUCGAGUAGCUGUUUGUGAAAAUGUCACUUAGAGACAUAUAACCGAGAGUACCUUGACAGCUCUGUCAAUGAUGUGUAUAUACAACAUUGAUGGGAUAAGCGAUUUAGAAGGAAAGAACAGCCACUAACUUGAGUUAUUGGAUUCAUAUUGUGGAUUCUCAAAUUAACAAUAUCACUAAUAUAUAAGAUAGUAAGGGACUUCGAUAAUUGGAUGGAGGAGUACCGCGAGCUCUUAGAGGCAUUAAUCACUACCUAAGAACACUUUGCUCUUUGUUUUCUGUAUACUCUGACAAUUAUGAAGUGUUAGCCUGACUUGCUUUCAGAUUGACAUUUUUGAGAAAGUUCUUUAGGUGGUGAAGUGAAGUCUGUUGGAUAUGAUGAGACCCUUAAUUAGAAGGUGGCCAUGAACUGAAGUUGCUUACAUUUGAGACUGAACAAGGGAGGGAUACAUUUUGGCAUUCAAGUGCUCAUUCUUGGAGGCCCUUGAGACGCAGUAUGGAUGCAAGCUGUGUAUUGGUCCAUGUCCCACAAAAGGAGAGAGGGGUUCUAUUAAAUAUGCAUUUUCUGGUGAUCUUGGCUUGAAUAAGGAUUGCUUUCAUCAAGAAAGCAGUGGAGAAAGCUGUUGCGCUACGUUAUUUUGUCUUUUGCGGAAACUUGAGUGUAUCUUGAAAACAUAACUUGUCUGCUACCACCGCACUUGGGACCUUUCCUACUGAUGGAGGUUUGCACUUCAUUGCAUUGCAGCUCUCAUAUUCUUCUUUCUAUACUUUAACCACAUCGAGUUCUCCUGGUGGAAACCCAAGGACUGUGAAACAGAUAUUAAGAGAAAAGUUAGACAGUUGAACUGCGAAUCUUUUAACA